GACGAACGCUGGCGGCGUGCCUAAUACAUGCAAGUAGAACGCUGAAGGAGGAGCUUGCUUCUCUGGAUGAGUUGCGAACGGGUGAGUAACGCGUAGGUAACCUGCCUGGUAGCGGGGGAUAACUAUUGGAAACGAUAGCUAAUACCGCAUAAUAGUAGAUGUCGCAUGACAUUUGCUUAAAAGGUGCAAUUGCAUCACUACUAGAUGGACCUGCGUUGUAUUAGCUAGUUGGUGAGGUAACGGCUCACCAAGGCAACGAUACAUAGCCGACCUGAGAGGGUGAUCGGCCACACUGGGACUGAGACACGGCCCAGACUCCUACGGGAGGCAGCAGUAGGGAAUCUUCGGCAAUGGACGGAAGUCUGACCGAGCAACGCCGCGUGAGUGAAGAAGGUUUUCGGAUCGUAAAGCUCUGUUGUAAGAGAAGAACGAGUGUGAGAGUGGAAAGUUCACACUGUGACGGUAUCUUACCAGAAAGGGACGGCUAACUACGUG
rnacentral:rRNA from 1 species